CCAAUCAUCACCUUUCCCCGCGCUCCCCACGCCUCAGGUGGCCCUGCUUCUUUAUUCGUUAUCGCGUAAAUACCCGGAGCCCCUUCCCUUCCGGGACGCCAGAGCUGAGGUUUGCCCUCCUCUCUCCUGGCUUGGCCGCCUCGCCGACAGACCCGGGCGUCUCGGCGUUUGGCUUGCUGUGCAGCAGCCCAGAGGAGCCUGGUUGGGUACCAACUGCACAGGGACACUGCAGCUCGGGACCGCUGACUCUGCGCCACCUCUACCAGUUUGCGGUUUUGGAAGCAUCAGAUAAAUUGCUCCUUCAAAAGUCUGGAGGACACUGGGAAAUGGAAGAGACCGGAGGCCCAGAGGCAACUAGAAGCCUGUUGAGAUUUCCGGGAGGGACAGGAAUCCGCCGGCGGUGACGGGGAUGGAGCAGCGUGAACGUCCGUGCAGCCAAGUGAACGAAGCAGGGUGUAAGAAGGAGGGCCAUAUUCUGAAUACUCUGCGAUCAAGAUUUUGUUCCAACUUAUGAAACUCUUCUGUACUUCUGGGAUUUUACAAAUUCGAAAUUAUUUCAUAUC